rnacentral:tRNA from 1 species
GGAGGAGUCGCAUAGCGGCCAUUGCACCGGCUUGGAAAGCCGUGACCCGAAAGGGUUUCGUGGGUUCGAGUCCCACCUCCUCCGCCA